CUUGCAGCCGGCGGCCAGAGCGGCUUGUGGGAAGCGGACUUUCACUCAGGCAACAGCGGUGGCUCGUCCCUGACUGGAAGCCGUAAAGAAACCUGUAAAUCUGAAGAGAGUGGUGGCUUUAAUCGUGCAUUAGGACAGCCAUGGAGGAUGUGCUUAGGGGACAUGGGACCUUCUGCCUUAGGUGAGUGUCACAGGCAGUUUAACCCAAUGGUUGGGACCUGGGUCAGGCAGGCUACCUUGGUAAGUGCUACUAUUCUGCAACCAUAGUGGAC
ensembl:lncRNA